UUUGUUUUCAUGGUUUGGGUUUACGUUUACUGGAAACAAGCAGCAAAAAGGCUCAGAUGUCAGGUGCCGGGGAGGCUGGAGGAAAAUUUGGAAACAUGCUGUGCAAGCCAAGAUGAAGCAAUAGCUCAUGCACACUUUUGCCGGGUCAACUUAGAAUAAUCAUAUAUCCAGUAUGAAAUAAGACAGUUUUCCUCAGAGAACAUUCAUGUAAAUCAAGCCAAGACAAUGAAUAGACUGAGAAUGAAAUUCAGGUCCCUGGUGAUGACAGCUCUAACCAUCACAGAAAAGUUUAACAGCAGCUCUAAUCAUGGUAUGCUACAGCAGACGAAGCAGCGAGUCUUCAACCUGGGUUUAAAAGUUGAGACUGAAAGGGCAUCUCUUACAUAAGCAG